rnacentral:rRNA from 1 species
UACAUGGGGUGCAAACGUUGCUCGGAAUUAUUGGGCGUAAAGCGCACGUAGGCGGUUCGUUAAGUCGGAUGUGAAAGCCCUCGGCUCAACUGAGGAAGUGCACCCGAAACUGGCGAGCUUGAGUACGAAAGAGGAUCGCGGAAUUCCCGGUGUAGAGGUGAAAUUCGUAGAUAUCUGGAGGAACACCGGUGGCGAAGGCGGGUCUCUGGGCCGAUACUGACGCUGAGGAGCGAAAGCGUGGGGAGCGAACAGG